rnacentral:piRNA from 1 species
GACCUUACAUUCUGUUUGUCUCGAUUGGC